ensembl:lncRNA
GACAUGGCAGGAGGCAGCCAGAGCUGCCUGGCCCUGGCUAAGGUCAGUGGGCAGCCUCCCGCCUCUCAAGCCCUGGCCAGGCAACCUGGAGCCAGCAGUGCUGUGGCUUCAAAACAAGAGGCCUUUAGUGGUUCUCUGAUGUUUCUUUCUCCUUCCCCUCAGGAAGACAAAUUGGGGAUUUUUAUGAGCUAAUGUAACUAUUUACCCAGGGGCCGCUGGAAGACUAUAAAGGGACUAUUGAUUAAUUGAUUAAUUUUACAUGUUGAGGAGGUUGGUUAGAAGUAACCCUACUGUAAAAUGCUGUCAGAGGUGAUGCCUGGCGGACAACACCUUUCCCAAGGUCCAGGAGAUGGGCUGUGGACUUGGAUAGAGUGUCCUGGACACAGGAUUCAAAAGAGGCUGGUGAUUUUUCACUCGACUUCUGUGUGGAAAAAGCCCCAGCCACUCCUCCUAGUCCUUGAGAAGGAGGGUCAAGGUUAUUAAAGUGGCGGAAGAGGCAUUUGUGCUCUGCUGGCCUGAAGGGGGGUGAGGAGCGCUCAGCUCAGAGGCCCCCCAUGUGUCCUCUUGUUUAACUCUUCUCAUCAACCCUCCAGGUAAGUGUUACUCUCCUCACUGCAGAGGAGGCAAAGGAAACUGAGUGACUGCUCACAGUCAGCAGCUGCUAGUACAAACCAGGAUUUCAGACCUGUCUGCCUCCAAAGUCUGGGCCUUUGUCUUUAAAACCCUGGCAUUUGUAAGGCUGAGCUGUGGACGGGGUGGGGGGGUGCAUCUUAUCUAUGUCUGCAUUCCCAACUCCUGCAUGAUGCAUGGCACCAUAGUUGGACCUCAAAAAUAUCUCUUGGGCUGAGAUAGUGGCCAUAAGCACUAGAGGCGGGGGGUCUGUAGGUCCCAAGACAUGUUGGAGCGCAAAGGCUGUCCUGUCCAAGGGUUGUAACUCUCUGACUUUUCAGGGGAGGAAAGGGAGGCCCCGUGAGGGGAAGCACAUCUCCAAGACCAUGUAACCCAUUUGAGGCCCAGAGGGGAUGCCUGUCAAAUGCUCAUCCUGAGCUGCUGGCCCAUUAGGAUUUGUUGUUGAGCAAACUGUGCUUGUUCUCAGGCCUCUCCCCACUGCCCCUGUGCCCUAGAACCCUCUGCCAGGGCCACAGGAAGUCCUCUGGAGGCAGGGAAAAGGUGGGGUGGAGGGAGGAGCUAGGAGAAGGGCACAGAGCUGGGCCUGUGGUUGUGAGACCCCCUCAGCCCCUCCCCCAGAGACUCUCCCUCCAGCCCUGGCAGGCGGGGUGGGGGGCUGUUUAUGGCGUUCCAACCAGAGCUUCUCCUCUCAGAAAGGAAUAAUUUCUCAGGCUCUGCCUGCUGAUUAGGGCUGGAAUUUAAAUGAAUAACUGUGACCUUGUGGAAGUGCCCUAGUUAUUCAGAGGCCUGAUGAGGAAAUAGGCCUCUUGCUUUGGUCCAUCAGAGCCCUGGCAGGCGUGGGAGGAGGGGCUCCUGUCUGCCGAGGCCCAGAGGGGGCCUCCGUCUGCUGUUACCAGAAGGAACUGAUGGCCUUUGCUCAAGCCUUCCUCUGCCUGCCCUUGACUUCUGCCCCUCGAGUUGUCUUCCCCCUCCAGUGCAAGUCAUCUCAGUGCUGUCCUUGGAGAGGGGACCUGCUGAUUUGUUCUGAGCCCUGCCCUGUCUCCGGGGAGUCCCUUAGUCCAGUUGUGCACCGGAAGCCCGGAGGCAAUGCCUGAUACAUCUGACUUGUGUUUAUGCUCUGGAAGCUUGCUGCUCUGAGAAGGGGCUUGACCCACAGACUCAGCAGCAUCAGCCUCGCCUAGGAGCCCAUUAGAAAGGCUCACCCCAGCCCUGUGGAGUCAGAUGUCUGCCCAUUAAAGUUGGAGACACACUGACCUAAAACUCCCAGUCUCUCCUUGCCUUUGGGGCCUACAGGGCAGUGUUUGCUGAGGAAGGUGUAACCCACUUUGCAAAGCCUUAUGGCCCAUCUCUUCUGCAGGGCACAGGGUGAAAUAUCCGCUUUCUGGGUGGUUGGGAGCUAAGAGGCAAAACGAAUUUAGGGAAGAGAAAGGGAAUGAAUACUUGUCCACCCCUUGGUCUGUGCGGGUCACUGUUCAGGCACGUCCCAUUACAAGGUUAGGUACCGUGAGGCAAGAUAGCUGCCUGUUUGCACAGGGCCUUCAAGCUAAGGACAAUUUUUCAACUUUUAGAUGGUUGAAAGCAACCAAGGAGGGAUACUUUAUGGUCUAAAAAAUUUAUGAAAUUUGGACUUCAGUGUUCACAAAUAAAGUUUUAUUGGAACUCAGGCACACUUGUUCGUUUCUGUACUGUCUACAGAUGCUUUGCAAAGGCAAAGUAGAGCGGCUGUGACACAGAUACUUGGCCUGCAAAAUUUGAAAGAUUUCAUUUGGCCCUUUAUAGAAAAACUUACCUUACCCCUGGGUUAGGGCACGGACUUGGAGCCAGGGAGACUUAAAACCAAAGCCUUCUUUUGCCGGUGUCUGGGCCCGGCUAGCUGUUUAGAGGCAUGCUUCCACCGCCGUGCUGUAGACCCUCCAAGCACAGCUCUGUUCUCUCCCUGUCACACUCUCCCCUUCCCUCCUGAUCGUCCUGCCGUCAGUGAAGAGGUCCCUCAGACUUAGGCCCUGGCCACCCCUGCUUUCAAGUGAGACCAAGAAAUCCCAGUGAGAGGGAGGAAAGGGACCUUUAGAGAGAGCCAAGGCGCCUACUGCUUCACAGGUGAGGAACCUUGGGCUCCAAAACAUUGAUUCCUUUGCCCAAGGCCAGAAGCAGUUAUGGUAGGUGUCAGGAUUUAAACCCAUUCUGGAAUAUCUGCUUUGUCUUUCUGCUUCCCUCUGCUUCGUUGCUUUCCCCAGAAGCUGUGUGGCCUUGGGGAAGUCAUUAACCUUCCUAGACAUCAGGCUUCUUUAAAUCAAAUGACCUCUCAGCCUUCUCCAUUCCGAGGGUCUAGGUCAUCUAACUUUGAUGUCUUGGGGAGGAGGAUUCAGGAGAAUGCCUUCUCCUCCGUUACCAACAACUGCCAGCUCCUAACUCCAGUGGUACCCAUUAUAUAUUUUGUCUUUUCUUCCCUCUUCUUUUGGGCAAUCAUCUCACUUGCUUUUCCCCCUUAUUU